GGGGGCGGGGGGGGUCCCCAUCCUUAUUAUUAAGCGGACAUGAAAGCUUGCUUUCUUGCUACUAGUGCGCAGUGUGAGUAUGUAUGGGAAGUGCCGGGUAGGGGGGGUAACUACUGGAAACAGUGGCUAAUACCGCAUACGGCCUACGGACAAAGGAGGGGAUCUUCAGACCUCGCACUAUUAGAUGACCCAUAUCGGAUUAGCUAGUUGGUGGGGUAAAGGCUCACCUAGGCAAGAUCCGUAGCUGGUUGGAGAGGAUGACCAGCCACACUGGUCUGAGACCGGCCAGACUCCUACGGGAGGAACAGUGGGGAAUUUUGCACAAUGGGGAACCCUGAUCCACCAUCCCGCGUGUAUGAGAAGGCCUUCGGGUUGUAAGUACUUUUGGCGGAGAAGAAAAGGACCUCCUAAUACGAUUAUUGUUGACGUUAUCUGCAGAAUAAGCACCGGCUAACUACGUUGCCAGCAGCCGCGGUAAUACGUAGGGUGCAAGCGUUAAUCGGAAUUACUGGGCGUAAAGCGUGUGUAGGCGGUUCAUUAAGUCAGAUGUGAAAUCCCAGGGCUCAACCUUGGAACUGCAUUUUUAACUGCCUAGCUAGAGUCUUCAGAGGGGGGUAGAAUUCCAUGUGUAGCAGUGAAAUGCGUAGAUAUGUGAAGGAUACCAUGGCGAAGCAGCCCCCUGGACAAUACUGACGCUCAGACACGAAACGUGGGAGUAAACAGAUAGAUACCCUGUUAGUCCACGCCCGUAAACGAUGUCAACUUGCUGGUGGGGGCGCUAGGCCUUAGCUCCGAGAUAAAC
rnacentral:rRNA from 1 species